AAAGGUUCAAUCCGCUGAAAGAUAAAUCUGUUUAAGAUUAGGUUGUUGGUAAUUUAAAAGCUUACCAAGCCAAUGAUCUUUAGUUGGUCUGAGAGGAUGAUCAACCACACUGGAACUGAAACAAGGUCCAGGCUAAUACGUUGGCCAGCAGUGGGGGAUAUUGGACAAUGAACGAAAGUUUGAUCCAGCAAUACUAACUGGGUGACGACGGCUUAUUUAAGUUGUAAGAUCCUUUAAUUGAAGAAGAUAAUGACACUAUUUAAUUGAAUUAGUCCUGGCUAAUACUCGUGCCAGCAGCCGCGGUAAUACGGGAAGGGCAAGCGUUAUCCGGCAUGACUGGGCGUAAAGAGUCCGUAGACUGUAAAAUAAGUUUUUUGUUAAAUUUUAAGACCUAAUCUUAACAUAGCAACUAAUACUAUUUUACUGUGAGUCUAAUACAGAAAAGUAGAAUUUUAUACGAAAGAGGUGAAAUUUGCGGAUAUAUAAAGGAAUGCCAAAAGCGAAGGCAACUUUUUAGUAUAGACUGACGUUGAGGGACGAAAGCGUGGGUAGCAAACGGGAUUAGAGACCCCGGUAGUCCACGCCGUAAAUUCUGAGUGCU
rnacentral:rRNA from 1 species